UAGUCCCACCUGAUUCGAGGUCAAAGCUGAAAUGUGGAACACAGAUUGUACAAUCUGUGAAGCCAAGUUUAGAAGCAACCCAAAUGAGAGCUGGCCACCAACCAAAGUGCCUCAGCGAUCAGACUGUUAUCACGCUGAGUAGAACCAGUGCCACACGAGGAUCAGCUGAUGCUUUUAAGGCCAGCCGUACCAAUGAAGGA
rnacentral:misc_RNA from 1 species